UUCAGUGACAGCAGCAGGGACAAAGCUGUUUUUAUAAUGCUUUGUCCUGCAUCUUGGAACUAGAAACCUCCGUCCUGAAGAAAGAAGCUAAAUCCACCCGUAGAGGAUGGGAACCAUUUUUAAGGAUUAAUUAAGCCAUCUGUGGUACCUGUUUAGAGUACAGGGAGUCUAAACAGGCCUGUGACUCAUCUAUCAGACGACUGGACCAUCUCACUAACUGAUUCAGUGAAUGUUUCUCUGUGACAGAGGUCUGACUGAACCAUGCCACCAAACAAAAAGAUAAAACAGACUCAAUAAAAGAACAAUAAAACAAAGUUAAAAUCUUUCGGUCAAUGUGGAAAUGAGCAAGUUUCCUGAGGCAGUAAAGGCACUGGUGACCCUUUUUACAGACCGAUUUGCAAUAAAAGUUCAGUUUUUCAUUGAUUAUGGUCCCAAGAUAUUUAUAUGAUUGCACUUGCUCUAUUUUCUGACCUUUAAUUAAAGUGACUCUGAGCCCAUUUUGUUGUUUCCUAAAAUCAAUAACCAUAUCUUUUGUUUUAGAUAUGUUCAAUUGGAGAUAAGACUCCUCCCACCACUGAACAAAGUCAUCAAUGAUUGGACCGUGAUGUCACCAAAGAGGACUGUGAUGAAAGCUUCGAGAACCUUUAAAUGGGCACUCAAGCUGCCUGGAGACUGAUUUGUCGUGCACAUCAGAGAAACCACAGGUAAGACAAUCUUAUCCAAAAGGUCAGUGUAACAGUAUUGUUUUCCACCAGCUUAACCAAACUUCCCACACUAACUGAAAUUUCUUUUCUCAGGCAAACAUUAAACAGCAGCAGCUGGAAAACUGGAAAACCUAAAGCCAAAUAAUCAA